CCUACGGGUGGCAGCAGUGAGGAAUAUUGGUCAAUGGGCGCGAGCCUGAACCAGCCAAGUAGCGUGAAGGAUGACUGCCCUACGGGUUGUAAACUUCUUUUAUAAAGGAAUAAAGUGAGGCACGUGUGCCUUUUUGUAUGUACUUUAUUAAUAAGGAUCGGCUAACUCCGUGUCAGCAGCCGCGGUAAUACUGAGGAUGCGAGCGUUAUCCGGAUUUAUUGGGUGUAAAGGGUGCGUAGGCGGGCUGUUAAGUCAGCGGUAAAAGCCCGGGGCUCAACACCGGCGAGCUGUUGAAACUGGCUGUCUUGAGAGGUAGAGGGGUAUGCGGAAUGCGAAGUGUAGCGGUGAAAUGCUUAGAUAUUGGGAAGAACUCCGAUUGCGAAGGCAGCAUACCGGCGGCGAUCUGACGCUGAGGCACGAAAGCGUGGGUAUCGAACAGGAUUAGAUACCCUAGUAGUC
rnacentral:rRNA from 1 species